CUGCUGCCUUCCGUAGGAGUUUGGACCGUGUCUCAGUUCCAAUGUGGGGGACCUUCCUCUCAGAACCCCUAUCCAUCGUUGUCUUGGUGGGCCGUUACCCCGCCAACUAACUAAUGGAACGCAUCCCCAUCCAUACCGAAAUUCUUUAAUAAUCCA
rnacentral:rRNA from 1 species